ACCAUGCAGUCGAGCGCGAAUAGGGGCAACCCUUAGUAGAGCGGCGCACGGGUGCGUAACACGUGGAUAAUCUGCCUGGAUGCUCGGGAUAACCAGUCGAAAGAUUGGCUAAUACCGGAUAAGCCCACGGUUUCUUCGGAGACUGAGGGAAAAGGUGGCCUCUGUAUACAAGCUAUCACAACCAGAUGAGUCCGCGGCCCAUCAGCUAGUUGGCGGGGUAAUGGCCCACCAAGGCGACGACGGGUAGCUGGUCUGAGAGGACGAUCAGCCACACUGGAACUGAGACACGGUCCAGACUCCUACGGGAGGCAGCAGUGGGGAAUUUUGCGCAAUGGGCGAAAGCCUGACGCAGCAACGCCGCGUGUGUGAUGAAGGUCUUUGGAUUGUAAAGCACUUUCGACCGAGAAGAAAACCCGUUGGCUAACAUCCAACGGCUUGACGGUAUCGGGAGAAGAAGCACCGGCUAACUCUGUGCCAGCAGCCGCGGUAAUACAGAGGGUGCAAGCGUUGUUCGGAAUUAUUGGGCGUAAAGCGCGUGUAGGCGGCGUGACAAGUCGGGUGUGAAAGCCCUCAGCUCAACUGAGGAAGUGCGCCCGAAACUGUCGUGCUUGAGUGCCGGAG
rnacentral:rRNA from 1 species